rnacentral:rRNA from 1 species
UACGUAGGGGGCGAGCGUUGUCCGGAAUCAUUGGGCGUAAAGCGCGUGUAGGCGGCCCGGUAAGUCCGCUGUGAAAGUCCAGGGCUCAACCUCGAGAUGUCGGCGGAAACCAUCUGGCUAGAGUCCGGAAGAGGAGAGUGGAAUUCCUGGUGUAGCGGUGAAAUGCGCAGAUAUCAGGAAGAACACCCGUGGCGAAGGCGGCUCUCUGGGACGGUACUGACGCUGAGACGCGAAAGCGUGGGGAGCGAACAGG